UGUUUCCUUGGUAGAGUCGAUCCGCACUCAGUCUGACCCAGGACGUCACUCUGCCUGUCUGUUUUCUCAAUGAUAACUUGGCAGGAGAAGGGGGAAGCUGCCAGGUUUUCCCUGGGCUCAUUACCUGGGGGAGCCAAGCGACCUGGGUUCUGUUGCCAGCUCUGUCACUGACUUACAAUAUGACCCUGGACAAAUCACUUCACCACUCUGUGACUCCGCAUCUUUGUAUGGACAGGGCGAUAGUGAUACUUACCCUCCUUUGUUAAGCCGUUUGAGAUCAACAAAUGAAGUUCACUAUACAGUUUUCAGCAGAAUGAGAGCGGUACCUUCACCAACUUCUGUGAUGAUAUUUCAUCUUUCAAAACUUACAUUUUCAGCUGUUCGGUUGUGCUAGCCAUUAUUGAUUAUUGUAUUUGUAUAAGGGAGACUUCCCAUUAUAAAUUGUACUGAAUGUAUUUUACCCAGAUAUCAUGGCAUAUUAAUAUUUUUGAAAUACUAAUACUAAUAUCAUACUGAUUAUUUGAUCCUUGGUUGGAUUUAAACAAGAAGCUAACAAAAAUGACAAAUGCAGAGAGAUACUGAGCUAGAAGCAGUGAAGUAUAAUCAAGUUACCUAAUCGGAUACCUGCAUCUUUCUCUGAGCCUCUUCUAGGACCUGAUCUUGUAACUUCAGAGUAAAUUAGGAGUCAAGGCUCCUAAAUAACACAGGCCAACAUUUUCAAGAACAAUCUCAGAUUUUGAGUUUCUAGACUGAGACACCUGGUUUUCAGAGGUGCUGAGAAUUACUGCUUCCAUUGACUUAAUUUGGAGUUGAAUGCUCAACAUUGGAAAAAAAAAAAAAGCCCAAAAAAUUUUAAAUUGGGCACCCAUAACUAAAGGCCACUGUGAAAAUGUUGGCCACAAAGUUUAUCAUAUGCAGUAGAGUAGACAUUAGUGUAACUUGUAUUAAUACAUGUAUAUUAAAAAAAAAAGAGUCUACUGUAAAACAGGUGAAUGUCAUUACUGUGUAUUUAAUCUUUCCUUGUCUCGGGAAGUUUAGUGCAAUUAAAUUCCAUACAGGCUUUAUGGAAUUUGGCUCAUUUUGAUAAAGUUAUAUAUUAUUUGUAUAAUCUGUCAAUAUUGUGAAAAUAUUGUAUUGCAAUAUUUAUGUGUUUGUGCAUGUGUUAGAGAGACACACACAAAAUAAGUAACUAUGUAAUACAUUUAUAUAAAUCCAUUUAGGGGUUCUGGUGAUAUAAAAUAUGAGAAUUAAAUUAGUAUUU